AUUGAACGCUGGCGGCAGGCCUAACACAUGCAAGUCGAACGAGUGGCGGACGGGUGAGUAAUGUCUGGGAAACUGCCUGAUGGAGGGGGAUAACUACUGGAAACGGUAGCUAAUACCGCAUACCAUCGGAUGUGCCCAGAUGGGAUUAGCUAGUAGGUGGGGUAAAGGCGCACCUAGGCGACGAUCCCUAGCUGGUCGGAGAGGAUGACCAGCCACACUGGAACGGAGACACGGGCCAGACUCCGACGGGAGGCAGCAGUGGGGAAGAUGGCACAAGGGGCGCAAGCCUGAUGCAGCCAUGCCGAGUGUAUGAAGAAGGCCUUCGGGUUGUAAAGUACUUUCAGCGGGGAGGCGUUACCCGCAGAAGAAGCACCGGCUAACUCCGUGCCAGCAGCCGCGGUAAUUC
rnacentral:rRNA from 1 species